UUACGGCCACAUCACGCUGAAACACCGGUUCUCGUACGAUCACCGAAGUUAAGCCACGUCGAGCCUGGGUUUUGCCUAGAUGGGUGACCGCUUGGGAAUACUAGGUGAUGCA